rnacentral:tRNA from 1 species
UUAAUUGAAGCCAAAGAUAGAGGCACACCACUGUUAAUGGUGCCAUUGGGGUUUCCCCCAAUUAAA